UUUUUGUGCGUGUUUGGCAACUAUUAGGCUCGAGCUCUAGUCUCCCUUUUAGUUUAUCCUUUCAACCUUUUGUGUUCCUUUCGACGUCUCAGCGUCUCUUCUUGUGGGUGUGACAACUAUUAGGCAAGCUCUAGUCUCCCUUUUAGUUUAUCCUUUCAACCUUUUGUGUUCCUUUCGACGUCUCAGCGUCUCUUCUUGUGGGUGUGACAACUAUUAG
rnacentral:lncRNA from 1 species